UCGGUACAAUCUGAUAGAAAAACAGCAAUCUGGGUCCAUCGUCAACCUCAACGGCACCCGACAGUCCGGAACAACCUAAAUACUGCUGUAAAAAUAAGCUCGGCAUCCAAGCACGAGUGUAAAUGCAUUCUACACUAAUUAGGAUAUCCACCGCUCACAAACUGCGGCGAUACAAACAAACUACGGCUUCUGCGGCGAUACAAACAAACUACGGCUUCUAGAGCUAAAUCUGAUAGUUUUAACAUAUGA
rnacentral:lncRNA from 1 species